UUAAGCGACUAAGCGUACACGGUGGAUGCCCUGGCAGUCAGAGGCGAUGAAGGACGUGCUAAUCUGCGAAAAGCGUCGGUAAGGUGAUAUGAACCGUUAUAGCCGGCGAUGUCCGAAUGGGGAAACCCAGUGCAAUUCGUUGCACUAUCGUUAACUGAAUACAUAGGUUAACGAGGCGAACCGGGGGAACUGAAACAUCUAAGUACCCCGAGGAAAAGAAAUCAACCGAGAUUCCCCCAGUAGCGGCGAGCGAACGGGGAGCAGCCCGGAGUCUGAAUCAGCUUGUGUGUUAGUGGAAGCGUCUGGAAAGUCGCAGGGUACAGGGUGAUACUCCCGUACACUAAAA
rnacentral:rRNA from 1 species